CCGAAAAAAGUGUGUCAUCCAGGGUCCAGUGUAGAACAUCGUCGUGGAAGACGUCUUCGAGUUAUGCGAAAACGAACAGAGACCGUUUAAUCGUGGACAAAUUCUAGUGCUUUACCGCAGUGUUUCCUGUUGUGCGGUAACCAAGUAUCGGUGAUAGGACUUAAUACCAACUUUUAAUCGGAUACUCUGGGCUUGGCAUCUAUUGAGUGUGAG